AAGGCCUUUGCUUUUGCUGGUACUGAAGCAAUAUUAGUAAAGAAACUCUUUCGAUUCUAUUGACCUUGCUAGCAUUUUGGAGCAAUAUAAUAAUUCUAUAAUUAGACAUUAGGCAUAAUGUAGUACUAAUAUAUCUAUCAAACUCUACAUGUGGUUAGUUUUAUGAAAUUAUGCCAGUAUCUCUUCUUAGAUUGCACCUAUUAGACUUUAGGCAUAUUGUGGUACCACUUUAUCUUUAUAUAUGUAGGCGUUGAUAUUUCUGAUUUGAAGUUUCUGAUUUGUCGUCAGUUGGAUAUUCACUGUUGUUGAUGUUGGCGCUGGCAAAGGCAUCAGAGCAGACGCCAUCAAGAAAAGCGACAACAUGUCGAGGUUGUCGUCCAUGAGCUAGCAGAGUAUGCUGUGCAGCGCUGGAGGUGGCGGCCCAAAUAGCAUGAAGAACAUGGAAGGAGAGGAGGAGGAGGAGGAUGGCACGGAUUCGGAUUUUGUGGUGUUAGACUUAGACCUGUAAUGCCAUAACCUAAUUAAAGUUCAUCCAUCAAGGAAGAUGUGAGCAGAGGCGGCGAGGCAGCAAUGGUUGGCUCAGCAGUCAGCAACAACAAGCUUUUCUUGUUCUCAGUUUCUCGUGCAGAAGAUGGAUUGGAUGGAUUCAACAGGUUCGAAGCUAGCUGAAAAAAACGGCUACAAGGGGCAAGAUGAGCCUUGAGUCAGACACAAACAAUUAGAUUUGUUGUUCAAUUUGUAUUCCUUGACUCACAUGGCUACUCAUUUGAUAAUAAGCCUUUGCAAAAUACGUAUGACUUGAUCGGAAAUAUUGUAGCGGCACUGCCUUAUGGAUUAGGAAUAAAAUACUUAAUUUGUUGAGUAAA